GGAAUGAGCUGGAUGUGCAUACAGUUGCAGAUAACUUGUUUUAGAAGCUCUCAGUUGACUGAGGAACAGCAGCUGAUGAGGAGAAAUGCCUGAAUUUCAAUGGGGAGCUCAACAUGAAGUGAAUGACAAAGACACCAGCCACAGACAGUUGCUAUUGCUCUACAGCAGCAGGGAAAUGGAUUCCACCAACACCAUAUGAAGACAUUGAGCCUCGGAUGAGAUCCUAUCUCUUGGUGGCUGACAUCUUGAAUACAAGUUUGUGAGACCUAAGAAGAGGAUCAUGUUGUGCCAUGCCUGACUCCUAAUCCAUGGAAACUGUGAGAUAAUAAUUUUUGUUAUUCCAAGCCUCUGCAUUCUUGAUAACUUGUGAUAGCGGCGUCAUGCCAAGUAGUGAGGAUACAAUAAUCCAUGAGGCAAGCACAAUCCUGCCCGACUAGAGGCACAAAUGAGGACAUAGAUGACUAUAUAUUUUCAGACAAAUAUGCUAAGUGAAGGAGUUUGAAUUAACCCCUCAUCAGUGAGACUGGACCUUUCAUUGCAGCCUUUCUGCCAUCAUGGCUACAGAAAAGGAUAACAGAG
rnacentral:lncRNA from 1 species